ACUCCUACGGGAGGCUGCAGUAGGGAAUAUUGGUCAAUGGGCGAGGGCCUGAACCAGCCAUGCCGCGUGCAGGAAGACGGCCUUCUGGGUUGUAAACUGCUUUUGGCCGGGAACAAAAAGCCCCUGCGGGGGAAAUUGAGUGUACCGGCAGAAUAAGCACCGGCUAACUCCGUGCCAGCAGCCGCGGUAAUACGGAGGGUGCAAGCGUUGUCCGGAUUUAUUGGGUUUAAAGGGUGCGUAGGCGGGCCAAUAAGUCAGUGGUGAAAGCCCACAGCUCAACUGUGGAACCGCCAUUGAUACUGUUGGCCUUGAGUACCGUUGGGGCAGGCGGAAUUUAUGGUGUAGCGGUGAAAUGCAUAGAUACCAUAAAGAAACACCGAUAGCGUAGGCAGCUUGCUAAACGGUAACUGACGCUGAGGCACGAAAGCAUGGGGA
rnacentral:rRNA from 1 species